rnacentral:pre_miRNA from 1 species
GUCAUACAGAUGUGAAGGGACGGGCAAUGGUAUGUGAAAAUGGAAGCCAUUCCGUCCAUUAUAUCAAUGUGCUUG